UACGGGGGGAGCAAGCGUUGUUCGGAAUUACUGGGCGUAAAGCGUGCGCAGGCGGUCUUGCAAGACAGAUGUGAAAUCCCCGGGCUCAACCUGGGAACUGCAUUUGUGACUGCAAGGCUGGAGUGCGGCAGAGGGGGAUGGAAUUCCGCGUGUAGCAGUGAAAUGCGUAGAUAUGCGGAGGAACACCGAUGGCGAAGGCAAUCCCCUGGGCCUGCACUGACGCUCAUGCACGAAAGCGUGGGGAGCAAACAGG
rnacentral:rRNA from 1 species